rnacentral:rRNA from 1 species
CCUACGGGAGGCAGCAGUGGGGAAUAUUGGAAAAUGGGCGAAAGCCUGAUCCAGCCAUGCCGCGUGUGUGAAGAAGGCCUUCGGGUUGUAAAGCACUUUCAGUGGGGAAGAAAGCCUUGGGGCUAAUACCCUCGAGGAAGGACAUCACCCACAGAAGAAGCACCGGCUAACUCCGUGCCAGCAGCCGCGGUAAUACGGAGGGUGCGAGCGUUAAUCGGAAUUACUGGGCGUAAAGCGCGCGUAGGCGGUCUGAUAAGCCGGUUGUGAAAGCCCCGGGCUCAACCUGGGAACGGCAUCCGGAACUGUCAGGCUAGAGUGCAGGAGAGGAAGGUAGAAUUCCCGGUGUAGCGGUGAAAUGCGUAGAGAUCGGGAGGAAUACCAGUGGCGAAGGCGGCCUUCUGGACUGACACUGACGCUGAGGUGCGAAAGCGUGGGUAGCAAACAGGAUUAGAUACCCAGUAGUC